GGAUUUGUUGUGUUACAAGGAAGGUGGUCUAUGUUAGAUCUUUGGGCAAGCUGCAAAAGAAAAUCCUGAUUCAUCUCCUGAGGAAGCCGGUUGUCCGGUGAAACGCGUUGAGAGAGAGGGAUAUAUUGGGAAAGUUCCUGCUGCUGGACGGUGGACUUUCCUGUGCCUGGUUUAAAAUCUGAUUACCUUGUACACGCUUUUGUACACUUCGUCUGUUCCACAAAGAAUUAAAGAAUAUUUUAUGAUGAGCGCAUUUAUGUCCUUGGAAAUGUGAGUGCACUACUUACUUGCAGUA